rnacentral:rRNA from 1 species
UUUUGGACAAUGGGCGAAAGCCUGAUCCAGCAAUGCCGCGUGCAGGAAGAAGGCCUUCGGGUUGUAAACUGCUUUUGUACGGAACGAAACGGUCCUUUCUAAUAAAGAGGGCUAAUGACGGUACCGUAAGAAUAAGCACCGGCUAACUACGUGCCAGCAGCCGCGGUAAUACGUAGGGCGCGAGCGUUAAUCGGAAUUACUGGGCGUAAAGCGUGCGCAGGCGGUUCUAUAAGACAGAUGUGAAAUCCCCGGGCUCAACCUGGGAAUGGCAUUUGUGACUGUAGAGCUAGAGUACGGUAGAGGGGGAUGGAAUUCCGCGUGUAGCAGUGAAAUGCGUAGAUAUGCGGAGGAACACCGAUGGCGAAGGCAAUCCCCUGGACCUGUACUGACGCUCAUGCACGAAA